UCACUGGGCAAAGUGUGUCUCA
ensembl:ncRNA